rnacentral:rRNA from 1 species
CCUACGGGGCGCAGCAGUGAGGAAUAUUGGUCAAUGGUCGGGAGACUGAACCAGCCAAGCCGCGUGAGGGAUGAAGGUACAGAGUAUCGUAAACCUCUUUUGUCAGGGAACAAAGGCGGGGACGUGUCCCCGGAUGAGUGUACCUGAAGAAAAAGCAUCGGCUAACUCCGUGCCAGCAGCCGCGGUAAUACGGAGGGUGCAAGCGUUGUCCGGAAUCAUUGGGCGUAAAGAGUUCGUAGGCGGUAUGUUAAGUCUGGUGUUAAAUUCAGAAGCUCAACUUCUGUUCGGCACUGGAUACUGGCAAA